rnacentral:rRNA from 1 species
CGCCUCUUGAACUUUAUAAGAGGUCCAGCCUGCCCAGUGACUCUGUUCAACGGCCGCGGUAUCCUAACCGUGCGAAGGUAGCGUAAUCACUUGUUCUUUAAAUGUGGACUAGUAUGAAUGGCACUACGAGGGUUACACUGUCUCCUUUCUCUAAUCAGUGAAACUAAUUUUCCCGUGAAGAAGCGGGAAUACACCUAUAAGACGAGAAGACCCUAUGGAGCUUUAGACAAUCCAGCAAUUACUUUUUAAAUUAUAAAUUUCAGAAUGUUCAUUUUUUAAGUAAUGUGACUGCAAGUUUUUGGUUGGGGUGACCAUGGAGAAUAACACAACCUCCAUAUUGAAUGAAUUUUAUUUUAAGCUAAAAAUUACUUAUUAAAGCAUCAACACACUGACAUUUAUUGACCCAAUAUAUUUGAUCAACGAACCAAGUUACCCUAGGGAUAACAGCGCAAUCCGCUUCAAGAGCCCCUAUCGACAAGUGGGUUUACGACCUCGAUGUUGGAUCAGGGUAUCCCAGUGGCGCAGCCGCUACUAAAGGU